GUGUGGUUGGAACAUAGAUUAUUACAGGGAACCACACAUCGCCCUAUUAUCUUUGCCACUUGUGGAAGGAACUCCGAAGUCUUCUUUCCUAACUGCGCGGACCUGGCUGCCUCCAGGUCCUCAAUGGGUCCAAAACGUUUGCCCUUCGCAGUCGUUCUGACUAGGGAAGAGCCAGAAGUCAGGUGCCAGAUGAGCGAGCAAGGUGGCCAGGAUCCGCCGGUAUAUUUUCACGAGGGAUGCCUUUCCGGCGUGGCCUCGGCAGCAGCACUAACCGCGGUUUUGAUCACACCAUGUAAAGGACGCUCAUGGCAGAGAACUUGCAGAGCUGCUUCAGAGAGUGGCAAGAACGGAGGAAGUUGUGCUCUGAUAAUAAAAGUCCAGCUGGAAUAUCACAGAAAAAUGAUUUUUAAGCUUCUAAAUUUUUGGUUAAGCCACCAUUCCAUUAAGAAGGUACACAAAGUCUAAGGUCCACAGAUCUACCCCAUUCAGUCUGCAGACAGAUUGACCAGUCUCCCUCAUUGGGUCAGCCCAGGUCUACUCUAGUAAGUACAUGUCCAGAAUUCCUGGGCUCUCCCUCUCUGAGUGUGCUGUGAUCUGACUGUCAGGAGCAAUUCUACAUGAUUUUGGGGAAAAAUCAUUUCACAAUUAAAUCAUGAUUAGGGCCUAGUUCUCCUGCCUACAGGCCAGCUAUGGCAUGUCGAGACGUAACUCCAUCUUCUCUUCUGGUCACACCUAAAACCUCAAUGGUCCAGUGAUGCUGUGAUUCUCCAGAACAAGAUUACACCAGCUGAAGACAUCCAGGGAGGAACAAAAUCUUCAUCUGCAUAGAUCCUCCUGUUCUAGGAUUUUCACUGCUGCUGCAGCUGCCCUUUGAGUCACCUUUUACAUUUGUUACUUUCCUGAUGUAGUGAGCUCUUUCAGCCCUGAGUCAUCUGUUACAUUUGUUUCUCCUGAUGUACUGAAUAAAGGUGUGGCAAG